rnacentral:rRNA from 1 species
GAUGAACGCUGGCGGCGUGCCUAAUACAUGCAAGUAGAACGCUGAAGCUUGGUGCUUGCACCGAGCGGAUGAGUUGCGAACGGGUGAGUAACGCGUAGGUAACCUGCCUGGUAGCGGGGGAUAACUAUUGGAAACGAUAGCUAAUACCGCAUAACAGUCGACAUUGCAUGAUGUUGAUUUGAAAGGGGCAAAUGCUCCACUACCAGAUGGACCUGCGUUGUAUUAGCUAGUUGGUGAGGUAACGGCUCACCAAGGCGACGAUACAUAGCCGACCUGAGAGGGUGAUCGGCCACACUGGGACUGAGACACGGCCCAGACUCCUACGGGAGGCAGCAGUAGGGAAUCUUCGGCAAUGGGGGCAACCCUGACCGAGCAACGCCGCGUGAGUGAAGAAGGUUUUCGGAUCGUAAAGCUCUGUUGUAAGAGAAGAACGAGUGUGAGAGUGGAAAGUUCACACUGUGACGGUAACUACCAGAAAGG